GAUUUGUUUCUGCUGAGCCACGAUGGGAAUUCCAAAAUAGUUUUUUUCAAGCACAACCACGGAAGACUGGCAAGCUGAGGAUGUAAACAGCACGUUCCCGUUCUCCCAGCUCUUGGAGGGUGGGGGUCUCUGUUUUCUCGCCUUCCUGUCCCUAGUGCCUACAAAAAAGCCUAGCCAGGCUCUCAGGAAAUACUUCCCAAACAUAAUACCUGCAACAGUGUUACUGACUUAACCAAAAUUUACAAGAUAACUAUGUUGGGAAGAUGGAGUCAGAGGAAGCAAAGAGGUUUUGGAAGAAAGCUAAAUUCUCAUCUACCGGACUGUGGGAAGCUGACAGAUGGUUUACAAGUGACAGAUCAAGAAACAACUGGGUCCACUAUGUGCCAGGCAUUGUACUAGGUGCUGACUGCAGUGAAAGAGCAAACUGGGAUCCUGCCCUCGUGGUGCAAAGAAUCUGGAAAAGCAGGUAGGUACAGAAUUGAUAAGCAAAUCCACAAGUACAGAUGGUGACGAGUGCUGAGAAGGAAAAGAGAAGACUGAAAUGACAGAGAAAAACAUAGGUGGACCUACUGAAAGAGGGGAGGUCAGGGAGGCCUCUCUGAAGAGGUCAGACCUCCAGAAUAAGAAGAAGCCAGCUGUGCAGAGUGGAGAAACGAAACUUUGUCAUGCCACGUGGGGCGGCGGCUCGCCCUCUCCAGCAUCUCCCUCCCGCCUCCAAAGCACUCCAGUACCUGGACUAUAUACAGGCAGGGACAGUACUGGGCUCCUCCUCCAAUGCUGAUCCCAAUCAGGUUCUGAGCAUCCUUCUGCAAGGUCACCUUCCCAGGCACAGUAGGGAUUCCGCUAGAGAAAAGCACGUGAGGCUGAGUCUCCUAGAAGAAGGAUGACUGGAGGGGAUGGGGCCAGGGCCAGGCCCUCCAAAACCCUCCAGAGUCAGCCUUUUCUCUUUCUCAAUUGGCCAAUUGACAGCAUUUGGUUGUUGGAACGUUGUAGCGCUCUUGGAGUCAUGUCGAUGGGGCAUCAAAUCCCAAUUCUGCCAUCUAUCAGCUGUGGAACUUGGGUAGGUAAGUCACCCUCUCUGCAUCUCAGUUUCCUCACCCACAAAACAGUAUCGAUAAAAAACGGCCACAUUGUCAAAGUUCCUGUAAGAAAGAACCUUCCAUAGGCACUUAACACCCACCCAGGCCAGAGAAGCCACUCCACAAAAAUAGGUUCCUUCCUUCUCCUUCAUUCUCCCUUUGAGAUUUUCACUUGGACUCUGUCCUCAUCACCCUCUCAGGCACAUAUGGACUAUUACGGCCGCCUCCUCCAGGAAGCCUUCUCCUACUAAACAAUCCAUCACCCACCUCUCAAUUGCUGUACUCAAUUACCUCUGUUUUCACUAUAAAUUAGCACUUCUUUA